GGGUCUAAUACCGGAUAUGACUCCUCAUCGCAUGGUGGGGGGUGGAAAGCUUUAUUGUGGUUUUGGAUGGACUCGCGGCCUAUCAGCUUGUUGGUGAGGUAAUGGCUCACCAAGGCGACGACGGGUAGCCGGCCUGAGAGGGUGACCGGCCACACUGGGACUGAGACACGGCCCAGACUCCUACGGGAGGCAGCAGUGGGGAAUAUUGCACAAUGGGCGAAAGCCUGAUGCAGCGACGCCGCGUGAGGGAUGACGGCCUUCGGGUUGUAAACCUCUUUCAGUAGGGAAGAAGCGAAAGUGACGGUACCUGCAGAAGAAGCGCCGGCUAACUACGUGCCAGCAGCCGCGGUAAUACGUAGGGCGCAAGCGUUAUCCGGAAUUAUUGGGCGUAAAGAGCUCGUAGGCGGUUUGUCGCGUCUGCCGUGAAAGUCCGGGGCUCAACUCCGGAUCUGCGGUGGGUACGGGCAGACUAGAGUGAUGUAGGGGAGACUGGAAUUCCUGGUGUAGCGGUGAAAUGCGCAGAUAUCAGGAGGAACACCGAUGGCGAAGGCAGGUCUCUGGGCAUUAACUGACGCUGAGGAGCGAAAGCAUGGGGAGCGAACAGGAUUAGAUACCCUGGUAGUCCAUGCCGUAAACGUUGGGCACUAGGUGUGGGGGACAUUC
rnacentral:rRNA from 1 species